GGGCUAUUAGCUCAGUUGGUAGAGCAGUUGCCUCUUAAGCAAACGGUCACAGGUUCGAGCCCCGUAUAGCCCACCA
rnacentral:tRNA from 1 species